AAACAAUGCUCUGUGCAGCUGGGGCUCUCUGGCAUGACUGCAGUAAUCCUGAACUCGCUGUAAACUGCUUUUUCAUUCAACCCAACUUGGAAAAAGGCAGACAGGCUGUAGUCUAAACACCCCAAGAGUCUCUAUGUGCUUUGUUCCAGCACACUGCGCUCUCCUGUGAUUUAAAACAAUGUGUCUUUGUGCUUAUCUUCUGGGCUUGGCAAGGCAGGAUUUACCUCUGAGUUUUUGUCUCAACAGGAGAAAUUGCUGUCUAACAGAUCCUUUGUGGACUUCCGACCAAAACCAUCCAGUGCAACAUAUGAGGACAGUCAGAAGAGAAGGAGUAGCCAAGCUCUUCCAGGCACCGUGGGCAUCUCCCACAGCACCACUCAGGAACUGAGGCUAUGUUGUGCUUCCUUUUCCCUGGCUUUAGGAGUGCAAGGUGCAAAGUACAUAAAGAUCCAUCCUCUAUGUCCUCACACACAACAGAAUCACCUUGAAG
rnacentral:lncRNA from 1 species